UACAGAGGUCCCAAGCGUUGUUCGGAUUCAUUGGGCGUAAAGGGUGCGUAGGUGGCAGGGUAAGUUGGAUGUGAAAUCCCGGGGCUCAACCCCGGAACUGCAUUCAAUACUGCCCUGCUAGAGUACUGGAGAGGAGAUUGGAAUUCAUGGUGUAGCAGUGAGAUGCGUAGAUAUCAUGAGGAAGACCAGUGGCGAAGGCGGAUCUCUGGACAGUUACUGACACUGAGGCACGAAGGCCAGGGGAGCAAACGGG
rnacentral:rRNA from 1 species